AUUGAACGCUGGCGGCAUGCCUUACACAUGCAAAUCGAACGGCAGCACGGGGCAACCUGGUGGCGGGUGGCGAACGGGUGAGUAAUGCAUCGGAACGUACCUUUCAGUGGGGGAUAACGUAGCGAAAGUUACGCUAAUGCCGCAUAUUCUGUGAGCAGGAAAGCAGGGGAUCGCAAGACCUUGCGCUGAUUGAGCGGCCGAUGUCAGAUUAGCUAGUUGGUGAGGUAAAGGCUCACCAAGGCGACGAUCUGUAGCGGGUCUGAGAGGAUGAUCCGCCAAACUGGAACUGAGACACGGGCCAGAUUCCUACGGGAGGCAGCAGUGGGGAAUUUUGGACAAUGGGGGCAACCCUGAUCCAGCCAUGCCGCGUGAGUGAAGAAGGCCUUCGGGUUGUAAAGCUCUUUCGGCCGGGAAGAAAUCGCACGGGCUAAUACCCUGUGUGGAUGACGGUACCGGAAUAAGAAGCACCGGCUAACUACGUGCCAGCCGCCGCAGUAACAC
rnacentral:rRNA from 1 species